AAGGAUAUACUUCUGAGGAUUAUUUCUACAGUUCGUUACUGGAGAAGUUCCUCUGAAAAUAGCCAAGCAAUCUUGAGAAAGAGGAACAAAGCUGGAGGUACUAUGCUUCCUGACUUC
ensembl:snoRNA U3 Small nucleolar RNA U3